GCGCAAGCCUGAUGCAGCGACGCCGCGUGUGGGAUGACGGCCUUCGGGUUGUAAACCACUUUCAGCAGGGAAGAAGCUUUUUGUGACGGUACCUGCAGAAGAAGCGCCGGCUAACUACGUGCCAGCAGCCGCGGUAAUACGUAGGGCGCGAGCGUUAUCCGGAAUUAUUGGGCGUAAAGAGCUCGUAGGCGGUUUGUCACGUCUGCUGUGAAAGCCCGGGGCUUAACCCCGGGUGUGCAGUGGGUACGGGCAGACUGGAGUGCAGUAGGGGAGACUGGAAUUCCUGGUGUAGCGGUGAAAUGCGCAGAUAUCAGGAGGAACACCGAUGGCGAAGGCAGGUCUCUGGGCUGUUACUGACGCUGAGGAGCGAAAGCAUGGGGAGCGAACAGGAUUAGAUACCCUGGUAGUCCAUGCCGUAAACGUUGGGCACUAGGUGUGGGGAACAUUCCACGUUUUCCGCGCCGUAGCUAACGCAUUAAGUGCCCCGCCUGGGGAGUACGGCCGCAAGGCUAAAACUCAAAGGAAUUGACGGGGGCCCGCACAAGCGGCGGAGCAUGCGGAUUAAUUCGAUGCAACGCGAAGAACCUUACCAAGGCUUGACAUACACCGGACCGCCCUAGAGAUAGGGUUUCCCUUCGGGGCUGGUGUACAGGUGGUGCAUGGUUGUCGUCAGCUCGUGUCGUGAGAUGUUGGGUUAAGUCCCGCAACGAGCGCAACCCUUAUCCUAUGUUGCCAGCACGUGAUGGUGGGGACUCAUGGGAGACUGCCGGGGUCAACUCGGAGGAAGGUGGGGAUGACGUCAAAUCAUCAUGCCCCUUAUGUCUUGGGCUUCACGCAUGCUACAAUGGCCGGUACAGUGGGUUGCGAUACUGUGAGGUGGAGCUAAUCCCUAAAAGCCGGUCUCAGUUCGGAUCGAAGUCUGCAACUCGACUUUCGUGAAGUUGGAGUCGCUAGUAAUCGCAGAUCAGCAAUGCUGCGGUGAAUACGUUCCCGAGCCUUGUACACACCGCCCGUCAAGUCACGAAA
rnacentral:rRNA from 1 species